UGCCUAGGUGGCGGGCGGUGACGGCGGUGGCCAAUCGGCGAAGGUCGCCGGAGGUCAGGGGAGUCGCCGGAGCCGCACGCAAGGGUGAGGGAUCACCCUUGGUGGUCCACGGGUAGGAAGGAUGAAGAAUAGUGGAGAUGAUGGUGAGGGAAGGCAAAGUGGUCGAAUUCCGGUGGCCGGCGACUUGCGGCGGCGGCCGGGGCUCGCGCGCGGCUGGGGCAGGGGUGUGCUGGCGACGGCUAGAGGUCAGAUGAGCUAGGUGGAUUUCUACAGCUAGGGUUUCGUGCAUGAAACCCUAGUUGCACCAUAUGUAUACAAUGUGCAUUUCGCAAGGAAGUCCGCCAAAAGCUGAGAAUUUUCAGCCAAGUCCCUCACAGCGUGCGUGUUUCACGCUUACGCUCCUCAACAUUCGAAAUCGCGCGAUUCGGUACAUAAAAUAUAAUGGUUUUCGCAGAUUUUUCGUUUUGCCAAUAUUCGACCUCUUUGCGAACAUUUUGAAUUUUCGGGAGAUCCGUCUGUCUGAUUUGCGUACGGACUGUCUCAACGCGUUCAGCACGAUCCGGGCAUCGAAUUCACAAUUUUGUUUUGCCCGAUAUGAUUGCUGAUUUGCGACGAAACACAUCUCGUCUCCAAUAUUCUAAAACCACA
rnacentral:lncRNA from 1 species